CUAAUAAGUGACGGUACCUUACCAGAAAGGGACGGCUAACUACGUGCCAGCAGCCGCGGUAAUACGUAGGUCCCGAGCGUUAUCCGGAAUUAUUGGGCGUAAAGGGCACGUAGGCGGACAAAUAAAGUUUGAUGUCAAAUAAUGAUGGCUCAACCAUCAAGAGGCGUUGAAAACUGUUUAUCUAGAAUCUCGGAGAGGUAAGUGGAAUUCCAUGUGUAGCGGUGGAAUGCGUAGAUAUAUGGAGGAACACCAAUGGCGAAGGCAGCUUACUGGACGAAGAUUGACGCUGAGGUGCGAAAGCGUGGGUAGCAAACAGGAUUAGAUACCCUGGUAG
rnacentral:rRNA from 1 species